UGGGGAAUAUUGGACAAUGGGGGGAACCCUGAUCCAGCCAUGCCGCGUGUGUGAAGAAGGCCUUUUGGUUGUAAAGCACUUUAAGUGGGGAGGAGGCUUACCUGGUUAAUACCUGGGCUAAGUGGACGUUACCCACAGAAUAAGCACCGGCUAACUCUGUGCCAGCAGCCGCGGUAAUACAGAGGGUGCGAGCGUUAAUCGGAUUUACUGGGCGUAAAGCGCGCGUAGGUGGUUAAUUAAGUCAAAUGUG
rnacentral:rRNA from 1 species